rnacentral:rRNA from 1 species
AUGAACGCUGGCGGCGUGCCUCAUACAUGCCAGUCGAGCGCACGGACGAGAAGCUUGCUUCUCUGAUGUUAGCGGCGGACGGGUGAGUAACACGUGGAUAACCUACCUAUAAGACUGGGAUAACUUCGGGAAACCGGAGCUAAUACCGGAUGAUAUUUUGAACCGCAUGGUUCAAAAGUGAAAGACGGUCUUGCUGUCACUUAUAGAUGGAUCCGCGCUGCAUUAGCUAGUUGGUAAGGUAACGGCUUACCAAGGCAACGAUGCAUAGCCGACCUGAGAGGGUGAUCGGCCACACUGGAACUGAGACACGGUCCAGACUCCUACGGGAGGCAGCAGUAGGGAAUCUUCCGCAAUGGGCGAAAGCCUGACGGAGCAACGCCGCGUGAGUGAUGAAGGUCUUCGGAUCGUAAAACUCUGUUAUUAGGGAAGAACAUAUGUGUAAGUAACUGUGCACAUCUUGACGGUACCUAAUCAGAAAGCCACGGCUAACUACGUG